rnacentral:tRNA from 1 species
CAAGAAAUAGUUUAGUUAGAAUAUCAGUUUUGGGUACUGAUGGCGGAAUGUUACGUUUCUUUCUUGA